rnacentral:rRNA from 1 species
ACUCCUACGGGAGGCAGCAGUGGGGAAUCUUGCGCAAUGGGCGAAAGCCUGACGCAGCAACGCCGCGUGGGGGAAGAAGGCCUUCGGGUUGUAAACCUCUUUCAGGAGGGACGAAGCCACCAGGGUUAAUAGCCCAUGGGGUGACGGUACCUUCAGAAGAAGCCCCGGCUAACUACGUGCCAGCAGCCGCGGUAAUACGUAGGGGGCAAGCGUUGUCCGGAAUUAUUGGGCGUAAAGCGCGUGUAGGCGGCUUGGUAAGUCUGGUGUGAAACCUUGGGGCUUAACCCCAAGCCUGCACUGGAUACUGCCUCGCUAGAGUCCGGGAGGGGAGAGCGGAAUUCCCAGUGUAGCGGUGAAAUGCGCAGAUAUUGGGAAGAACACCAGUGGCGAAGGCGGCUCUCUGGAACGGUACUGACGCUGAGACGCGAAAGCGUGGGGAGCGAACAGGAUUAGAUACCCUGGUAGUCCACGCCGUAAACGAUGGGCACUAGAUGUGGGCGGUGUCGACUCCGCCCGUGUCGAAGCUAACGCAUUAAGUGCCCCGCCUGGGGAGUACGGCCGCAAGGCUAAAACUCAAAUGAAUUGACGG